rnacentral:rRNA from 1 species
AUUGUCGAGACCCAAACGCUUCAUUUGUUGAACUCGUAAAUGUGAUGUGUGGGCGGGUGUCUCAUGCCUUGGCUUUGUGCUGCCCGCUCACACCCGGCCUCUCCACCCGCACGACAUUGUGGGCUUCUGCUCGCGGUGCCUGUGUGGUGCGUUUGGCACCAAAACAAAUCCCCGGCGCAGCCCGCGCCAAGGAUCACUCUAGUGCCGUGCGGGCUCUUUUGAGCCACUCGGCCGCACCCUAAAAGGGUGCUUUAUCGGAUACUUUGAUGACUCUCGGCAACGGAUAUCUAGGCCCUCGCAUCGAUGAAGAACGUAGCGAAAUGCGAUACUUGGUGUGAAUUGCAGAAUCCCGUGAACCAUCGAGUCUUUGAACGCAAGUUGCGCCCGGAGCCUCAGCCGAGGGCACGCCUGCUUGGGCGUCACGCCUCUAGGCGCUCCCCUCCCACUUGAGUUCAGCAUCUUGAUGUUGGCCUUGUUGGUGGUGGAUGCGGAUGUUGGCCUUCCGUGGCUUUGCCGCCGCGGUGGGCUGAAGGAUGUGGAGUCGGUCCGUCCAACGUUAUUGGGCAUGACUGUGCUGGGUCGCUGCAGCUACUGCUCGUUGCUCGCUGGGUGCGGCAGUCUUAGCAAAUGCGGGCAUCGUCGUUGUGUCGAGUAGCCUUGUUGUCGGACUCUUACGCCAGUAAAGUUACCACGAUUGGUAUAUCAGCGGUCACACCGUUGGUUCCUCAUAUUGCGACCCC